GUAAAUACUCACUUUUGAUCAUGCCCUUGACAGCAUCCAGCACAAAUGUGAUGGAAAUGAACAUGGCAAUGAUAUCUUCUGUUGACCUGCCAGGGGAUGAUAUGCCUCAUAAGAUGGGGGCCCACCUUGACCCCGUACAUGCUGGGAUUUCUGGAAGCUGGAGUUUCUGCUGUAGCUCAAUGCGGUGGGGCCUGGACCCUGGCCCAUCAUGUCAGGAAGGAAAUACAACCUUUUGGGCAAUCUCUGGAGGAAGUCAGGGCUUGAUGAGGACCUAGCAAGAUGCUACAGAGAAACCCAGGAUGGCCGAGAUGAAGGGACAGGGUGGAAUGAGACCUUCAGACGCUAGGACUGUGGGGUACUCCAGCACAUGGAAGAGAUGCCCCC